CAGGCGCAAAGAGCCACCUCUAGUUUCCAUGGAAACCUCGCCUGAGCUAGACUCUGUAGAGCGCGAAGCUCUUGCUACCCCUCAGGUGCCCUGACAGACACUAGGAAGGGAUCUGCACAUGGUUGAGGGGGCAAAGUAGGGGGCCUGAGGGGAGGAGGCUGGGCGGCUCCGCCUCCCGGACCAGCAGCGCCCCCAAAUUCUUCUCGGCGUCCGCGCGCUCCUGGGCCCUCAGCGUUGUGAGGCAAAGGGGUCGGGGAGGCCCGAGUUGGCGAGGCCGGUGUCCGACUCUGGCCCGCUGGGCCUCGCUUGCUCCACUUCAGCGCCUUGUCACCCCCAGCCGAGGGCCUGCGCCGCCGACAGAUGCGGGAUAGUGCCGGACUUCUGGGCGCCACAAAUGCUCCUUUUCCUGAAGACAUAACCCAAGAUCAGGGCAGCCCCUACCAGAGGCCAGCAGGCUGGUGGUGCCUAGAGAAGGCCCUGGCUCCCAUGAAAGCCCUCCGUGGCCUGUCUCUGACCUGCACUGGAAGCGGGGAUCUCCAGGG